rnacentral:misc_RNA from 1 species
GUGUAUGUUUUUAUGUUUUGGCAGAUCGGUUCGGGGCGGGGUGGUUAGAGAAAUAAUAAACGGGCUCAGCCUCAGCUUAUCGCCUUAGCUUAGCCCGUCUAUAUAACGUUGCACAGGGGUAGGCAGAAUUCAUACAGUGAUGAUCCUUCCGCAGGUUCACCUACGGAAA